CCUACGGGAGGCAGCAGUGGGGAAUAUUGCACAAUGGGGGGAACCCUGAUGCAGCGACGCCGCGUGAGGGAAGAAGGCUUUCGGUAUGUAAAGCUCUGUUAGCAGGGAAGAAGAAAGACGGUAUCUGACCAAGAAGCCCCGGCUAACUACGGGCCAGCAGCCGCGGUAAUACGUAGGGGGCAAGCGUUAUCCGGAUUUACUGGGGGUAAAGGGAGCGUAGACGGGAGGGCAAGUCUGGGGUGAAAGGCAGGGGCCCAACCCCUGGACUGCACUGGAAACUGUACGGCUGGAGUGCAGGAGAGGUAAAUGGAAUUCCUAGUGUAGCGGUGAAAUGCGUAGAUAUUAGGAGGAACACCAGUGGCGAAGGCGGCUUGCUGGACUGUAACUGACGUUGAGGCUCGAAAGCGUGGGGAGCAAACAGGAUUAGAUACCCUAGUAGUC
rnacentral:rRNA from 1 species